CCAUGCUCUUCCAGUCACUGUGCCUGCGGCCACUGAGGAACAUGCAGCAUCUCAGAGCAAGAGAACCAAGGAUCCAAGUGUCCAAGUAUCCCACGAACAAAGCCAUCUACUUUGUGGUGUUUUGAUACAGCAGCCUAGAAUGGAAUACGGAUUAUAAAGGGAGACAGAGAAGCCCAAACGAUACUGAUGAGCUUUUCAAAAGAAGCUCCUUUUCUUUACUUACGUGAGAAAAGAAAACAAAGGAAAAAUAAACCUGAAGAAAAGCAAAACUAAAACAAAACAA